rnacentral:rRNA from 1 species
GAUGAACGCUAGCGGCAGGCCUAAUACAUGCAAGUCGAACGGAUAUAUGUUUUUCGGAAUAUAUAUUAGUGGCGCACGGGUGAGUAACACGUACAUAACUUGCCCUCAAGCGGGGGAUAGCCUUGGGAAACUGAGAGUAAUACCCCAUAGAAUUAUUGGACGGCAUCGUUUGAUAAUUAAAACUACGGUGUUUGGGGAUAGAUGUGCGUCUGAUUAGCUAGUUGGUGAGGUAAACUGCUCACCAAGGCGACGAAUCAGUAGGGGGCGGUGAGAGCGUGGCCCCCACCACGGUACGUNAGACACGA